AGGUCUCGCCGGGACUCGAACCCGGGUUAGAGGAUUCAAAGUCCUCGGUGCUAACCACUACACUACGAAACCAU
rnacentral:tRNA from 1 species